rnacentral:sRNA from 1 species
GCCAGGUGUGGUGGUGUACUCCUGUAAUCCCAGUGACUUGGGAGGCUAAGACAAGAGGAUUGCAAGUUCAAGGUCAGCCUUAGCCACUUAUCGAGGCCCUGAGCCACUUAGUGAGACCCUGUCUCGA